rnacentral:rRNA from 1 species
AUUGAACGCUGGCGGCAUGCCUUACACAUGCAAGUCGAACGGCAGCGCGGGCUUAGGCCUGGCGGCGAGUGGCGAACGGGUGAGUAACAUAUCGGAACGUGCCCUGGAGUGGGGGAUAACUAGUCGAAAGAUUAGCUAAUACCGCAUACGAUCUACGGAGGAAAGUGGGGGACCGCAAGGCCUCACGCUCGUGGAGCGGCCGAUAUCUGAUUAGCUAGUUGGGGGGUAAAAGCCUACCAAGGCCACGAUCAGUAGCUGGUCUGAGAGGACGACCAGCCACACUGGGACUGAGACACGGCCCAGACUCCUACGGGAGGCAGCAGUGGGGAAUUUUGGACAAUGGGCGCAAGCCUGAUCCAGCAAUGCCGCGUGUGGGAUGAAGG